rnacentral:rRNA from 1 species
UACGUAGGGUGCGAGCGUUGUCCGGAAUUAUUGGGCGUAAAGAGCUCGUAGGCGGCUUGUCGCGUCGGAUGUGAAAGCCCGGGGCUUAACUCCGGGUCUGCAUUCGAUACGGGCAGGCUAGAGUUCGGUAGGGGAGAUCGGAAUUCCUGGUGUAGCGGUGAAAUGCGUAGAUAUCUGGAGGAACACCGGUGGCGAAGGCGGCAUCCUGGACCGGCAUUGACGCUGAGGCGCGAAAGCCAGGGGAGCAAACGGG